rnacentral:rRNA from 1 species
GACGAACGCUGGCGGCGUGCUUAACACAUGCAAGUCGAACGGACAGGCCCUGCUUUUGUGGGGUUCUCGAGUGGCGAACGGGUGAGUAACACGUGAGUAACCUGCACUUGACUUUGGGAUAACUUCAGGAAAAUGGGGCUAAUACCGGAGAUGAGCUCCUGCUGCAUGUUGGUGGUUGGAGAGAGUCGGCGGUGGUGGAAGGACUCGCGGCUUAUCAGCUUUUUGGUGAGGUAGGGGCUUACAAAGGCUAUGACGGAUAGCCGGCCUGGGAGCGUGGCCAGGCUCCUUGGGCCUGCGAGACGGACCAGACUGCUACGGGACGCAGUGGUGGAGAGUAUUGCACAACGGCCCGGCGUCUGUUGUAGAGACGCCGCGUGCGGAAUGAUCGGUUUCGAGUUAUAAACCAAUUUCGACUUAGCUGUAGCCUGCUUGACGGUACUGGGUAAGGAAGCAACGGCUAACUACGUG